rnacentral:rRNA from 1 species
AAAGACGAGAAGACCCUAUAGAGUUUUAUAAGUAAAAUUAAUUGAGAUUAUUUGUAAAGGUUAAGAUUAAGAUUAAUUUAUUUAUUUUGUUGGGGUGACAGAAAAAUAUGAAAAACUUUUUAUAAGUUUAAAACAUUAAUAAGUGGUUAAAUGAUCCAAUAUUAUUGAUUAUAAGAAAAAAUUACCUUAGGGAUAACAGCGUAAUUUUUUUUUUUAGUUCAUAUAAAAAAAAAAGUUUGCGACCUCGAUGUUGGAUUAAGAUAAAAUUUAAAUGCAGAAG